rnacentral:rRNA from 1 species
CCUACGGGAGGCUGCAGUGGGGAAUAUUGGACAAUGGGGGCAACCCUGAUCCAGCCAUGCCGCGUGUGUGAAGAAGGCCCUCGGGUUGUAAAGCACUUUCAGUGAGGAAGAACGCCUGGUGGUUAAUACCCAUCAGGAAAGACAUCACUCACAGAAGAAGCACCGGCUAACUCCGUGCCAGCAGCCGCGGUAAUACGGAGGGUGCGAGCGUUAAUCGGAAUUACUGGGCGUAAAGCGCGCGUAGGUGGCUUGAUAAGCCGGUUGUGAAAGCCCCGGGCUCAACCUGGGAACGGCAUCCGGAACUGUCAAGCUAGAGUGCAGGAGAGGAAGGUAGAAUUCCCGGUGGAGCGGUGAAAUGCGUAGAGAUCGGGAGGAAGACCAGUGGCGAAGGCGGCCUUCUGGACUGACACUGACACUGAGGUGCGAAAGCGUGGGUAGCACACAGGAUUAGAUACCCGUGUAGUC